UAUCUCUGUAGAGUCUGCAUAUCAAUAAGCGGAGGAAAAGAAACUAACAAGGAUUCCCUUAGUAACGGCGAGUGAAGCGGGAAGAGCUCAAAUUUGAAAUCUUCAAGGUUCUACCUUGACGAAUUGUAGUUUAAAGAAGUGUUUUCUGUUAGAUGAGUAGCAAAAGUUCCUUGGAAUGGGACAUCAUAGAGGGUGAGAAUCCCGUAUUUGGUUAUUCAUUCUAGCUUUGUGAUACACUUUCAAAGAGUCGGAUUGUUUGGGAAUGCAGUCCAAAAUGGGUGGUAAAUUUCAUCUAAAGCUAAAUAUUGGCGAGAGACCGAUAGCGAACAAGUACCGUGAGGGAAAGAUGAAAAGAACUUUGAAAAGAGAGUUAAACAGUACGUGAAAUUGUCAAAAGGGAAGCGUUUGACACCAGUGUUGUUUUUCCGAAAAUCAAUUACGAAUGGCUUGAUUUUGUGUUGUAUUGACCUUAUCAGCUUUCUUCACUUUUUUCGAGUCUUUCUUAAUGCACUUUUCGGUUAACAAGUCAACAUCAAUUUCUUUUGUUGUAAAAGAGUAUUCGGAAGGUGGCUUUCUUUUCGGAGAAAGUGUUUAUAGCCCUAUACUUCUACAAUCGGAGAGAUUGAGGUCUGCGGCGUAGAUCCUUCGGGGUUAGAUACACUUGUGCUAAGUUGUAGCUUUUCAUAGACAACUUGUUGACUAUGUUUAGUCAUGCGGCUUACUCGCUUGUGCUAUUUUACCUACGCUUAGGAUGUUGACUGAUAUGUAGUCGUA
rnacentral:rRNA from 1 species